CUGUCUUCCAAGCCCUGCAGGUGAUGCUGGUGCAUACUCAAGUUGAGAAUGAAGGGACAGAAAUUACUUUAAAUGGAAAACUCCUGAACAGUCAGCAACUGCAGAAAGGAAACACUGCCUCUACAUAAGCAGCUGCCCCAGAACACAGAGGCAGCUGCUAUUGACGCCCUCUGGGGGGACUUCCUGCUUGGAAGAGGGUUGAACCCUCACCGAGAUGCGCGUUCAGCUGCCCAUUAGCAUCAAGACUAGGAAACGACCUUCCACACUCCUCCGGAAGCCCUGAGCUCCUCUUGUUACCGUGUUCGUUGACCUGGCAGGGUAGAAAUCGGCCGUCCAGAGCCCAUUGAUGGGGCCGGGUUUGGAGGAAGCAGAGCCGAGGCGCUGAUGGAAGCAUGUAAAAGGAAGACCUAGCCUCACCUGCAGGGAAGAGGGUGAGUAAGUGCGGCGUCUGGGGCACACCUGGGAAAACCCCAGGCUCAUCAGGCGAUGAGGGCACUGCAGACAUGACGCUGAUCCUAGGACUUUCUUUUGCUCUCCCAGAAGUAUUUAGCAGAGGCUGAGGUCUAGGGCAUGGGGUGAGAGGUUGAGGAAAUGUCGGUCAACAGAUAUAAAAUUUCAGUUGAACAGGAGGAAUAAAUUCAACAGACUUAUUGUACAACACGGUGACUCUAGUUAAUAACAACAUAUUGUAUUUUCCAAAAAAAAAAAAAAGAGUGAAAGGGUGUAUAAUACAAUGAUAAGAAGGACAGGAAAUCAACAAAUAAAAAUAAAUCCUACUUGUGCUUUGUCCCUCUCUGAUUCUCCUCCUCCCUCUCUUUCUCUUUUCCCAAUCUUGAUUUUGUGAAAUCUGAUUUUGUGAAAUGGGAACAUGAUCUCCACUCCAGGUUUCUGUGCUAAGUAAAGCCAUUCCCACA
rnacentral:lncRNA from 10 species